AAUUCUUUGUAUGAGAUGGUGAAGACUUUCAGAUGUUCCUCAUUAACAGGUUAUUAAGACAAUGUUUUACAGUGGAACGAGGAUGCAUCCAUUACAUUUGUUCAUAACUGCUUUAUUUAUAGGUGUUAAGUGUGCAGAAGUAACUCAACCACCUCACGUGAAAGUUUUGGAAGGGACAGAAGUCACAAUAUUUUGCAAUCAUUCUGUAAGUGCUGCUUACAAUACCUUGUGGUAUUCUCAAAUGGUUUAUGAUGGCCCUAAACUCGAAAUCCAGAACUAUGAUGGAAAUAAAAAUGAAAGUCGAUUUAUAUUAUAUGUCGACAGAAAAGCAAUGACAACAAACCUAACCAUAAAGGAUGUAACAAUCGCAGACACAGGUGUUGUUUAUUACUGUGCAGUGAGUGACACAGUAAAACAAAACCAAGCAACUGCAACGCCAUAAA